GACGAACGCUGGCGGCGUGCUUAACACAUGCAAGUCGAACGGAAAGGCCCUGCUUUUGUGGGGUGCUCGAGUGGCGAACGGGUGAGUAACACGUGAGUAACCUGCCCUUGACUUUGGGAUAACUUCAGGAAACUGGGGCUAAUACCGGAUAGGAGCUCCUGCUGCAUGGUGGGGGUUGGAAAGUUUCGGCGGUUGGGGAUGGACUGGCGGCUUAUCAGCUUGUUGGUGGGGUAGUGGCUUACCAAGGCUUUGACGGGUAGCCGGCCUGAGAGGGUGACCGGCCACAUUGGGACUGAGAUACGGCCCAGACUCCUGCGGGAGGCAGCAGUGGGGAAUAUUGCACAAUGGGCGGAAGCCUGAUGCAGCAACGCCGCGUGCGGGAUGACGGCCUUCGGGUUGUAAACCGCUUUCGCCUGUGACGAAGCGUGAGUGACGGUAAUGGGUAAAGAAGCACCGGCUAACUACGUG
rnacentral:rRNA from 1 species